CAUCCCGAACAGAGAAGUUAAGCCCGCCCGCGCCAAUGGUACUGCAGGGGUAACCCUGGGGGAGAGUAGGUCGUCGCCUGUG
rnacentral:rRNA from 1 species